AAGUCUGACCCCUGUGGAGUUCAAGGGUAUUCCACUGGCCACAGACUUUGGAGUCUGACUCCACAUGCUGCACCACUGACUCAGAGAGGAAAAUCCUAAGCUUGGGUUCCAGUGCCCUGGAGCCCAGGCCCUGCUGAUCCCAGACUCAGUUGUUCUGUUCCUCUGGUAGUCUGGCCUGUGGCAGCUUUUCCUUGCUGCCUGCAGCAGCUGGGUCUCAGAGCCCCAGGACAGAGGUGGGUGGCACAGGAGAGGCACAACCAGUCCACUCUUAAGAACAGCAGACAAAAAAGGGCAGUUUUGGUGGGACAUGCAAACCCUCCUCCCUCAGCAGAGGCUGGAACAGAGACCUCCAGAGGCCCCUUCCAGCCUCCUUUCUCUGGGAUUAUUUGCCAGCCUCGCCAGGAACCACUGCAGGAGCUGUUACUCUCAUCAGCUCUGGGCCUUCUCUUCAGCCCCAGGGCAGUGAGGAACAGCCACUGUCACAUUUAGUGCUGCUGCUGUGGUCAUCUGGCUGCCCUGAGUAACUGGCAUUUGUUAUGUGUGUGACAGAGCCUCCCUACCUGCACUGCAGCUGCUGCUGCUCACACCCAGCACAAGCCUGAAGGAGCAGAGGUAGGACAGCCGUGGGCCAGGCAGCUUCUCUUCCCAGCCAAGUGCAGUGAGUAGAGCUGUGGAGCUUGAGCCUCUACCUGGGGGGGAAAAGCAACAGCUAAAUAUCAUCUAAAAGCACAAUAUAAAAGCAGCAGUGCAAGUAGGAGUUGCAGCUCCCCAGGUUUUUGGAUGCAUGGGUUGCAGACACACUGGCUGUCCUGGAUGUGGCCUCUGUAUGAAAAGGCUCCUGGUGCUGUCCCAGGGAACAGAGCUGGCUGCAGCAGGGGAAGGUAAAUGCAAAUGCUAUUGGGGUGGGUGUCAUGGCCAUGGUGGGAGCUCCUAGUUAACUGUGAGAAAACUGUAAGGGUUUAUAAUGGCCAAGAUUUUCCAAAGGUAAAGCAGGUUUAGAGGCAGAAGCUGUGAUAGGGGAAGGGAUACAUACACAGCUUCUUCAGCUUGCCCAGAGUCAGAAGGAGACAAUCCAUGAGAAACUCCCUUGUCAUAAAGAGGAAAGUACAGCUUUGUUAGUUGUUUCCUAACCUCAGUAUUGCUACAGACUCCAGCCUCUCUCCCAUCCCUUGCCAGCACAAGAAUUGGGCUUUUAGAUCCUCUCCACUUCCAAACAGGCAGGUGCUCUACCAGAACAUGCUGGAAACAGGCUUGAAAGCUGUUCUGACGAGGCUGCUGAGAAUUCCCUUGAAGUCCAGUCACCUAAAAAAACAAGAGGAAUCUGUGAAACUCCAUUUAGCCCAGCUGGUUGUUAGAACUUUGAAGCCUUUCCCAUGGCAGUUUCUUCCCACAGACUCCAGGUCACUUCAGACGUAUAGGGCAGAAGAGAGAAAGUCUUCUCAAACCUUGUGGCAUUUCAAGAAAUCGUAAGUUUUAGCAGUGCAGCUCUUGCAGCUGGUGUGGGGCCUUCCCAGAUUUACAGCAAUCCCACAUUCACCACCCCUCUACCCCCCCAACCAAACCACAUGAUGGUGGAGGGGAGAAAGAAGCCCAGAGAGGGUUUCCAUCACUCUUGAGGCUGAGUGGGUAAGGGAGUGGGGUACAGGUCUGGUUGUGAAGCCUGGACUACAUGAAAGCUGUCAGUUUUGCCUUUAAUAAUUCCUUGAAUUCCUACUACUACAUGGGAUGACAAAAUGUGAUGGUCCAAACAAGCACUUAAAAGAAAACUAUAGUGAAGAGGGUGCUCAUCAUACUCAUGAUUUUGAAUAGUUUAUUAAAUGAAAGGUGAAGCAUCAGUUUUAAAUUGUACAAAAGGAAAAAAAACCUCAUAUUGUAAAUGUACAAUUUACAGAAUUACUAGCAAAACCAAUCAAGGAGACACUCAUAAUACAAAAACCUAUUGACUGCAAACUGAACUGGAGACCCAUUGCAGGUACCAUGAUAAUAAAUGUUUGUUAUACAGUAUUCUACAAUGUUAAAUUAGGAAUCAGUUUUCCACACAGAGGACUGUGAAGCACAAGGUUUGUCUGAGACUCUGACUCAAAGUGGGCAGCAUCUGUUGUGCCACCAUGCUCACAGAGUGAUCCUGGGACAGGUCCUGCAGCCAUUCCUGCCCCCAGGCCGUGGGGGUGCACAGAGGGAGGUAACAGGGUUUAUAAAGUUCCAGCUACUUCUUGGAUUAAUAGAUCCCCAACCCACACUAAGGAAUGGCUGAAUUACCUGGUCAAACAUUUUUGGCAACCGGGUGUGAGAACUGCACGUGUUGUGAGAGCCGAGCUCAGCUGGGUGAGUGCUGGGCUGGGUGAAUUUGGGCUCUUUCCCUGCCCGCGCUGGGCACUGAGGGGUUGGGCUGGUGUCCAGUAAGCUUGAAACAGAAAAAGCUCCGUGAUUAUUCUGCAGUUGCUAAAACCAAAGCACCUCUGAAACUGCUGUGCUCCAAGUGGGUCAGUCUGCUUUGUAUCCCAACUGCUACUGAGUGCAGAAAGAUGAAGCUUUUGGGGCCAAUUGUUGGAGAUCUGCAGCUGUGGAGGGCCAGCACUGCUGGUGCCAGGCCAGGCUGGGUAAGGAGCAGCUACUACAUCGAGUCAUAAAAUCGAAGCAUAAUGAAAUUCCAAAUUAUUGAAGACAUUGAAAAAUAUCUUAGUACAAUGAAUUAGCUGAGAAUGUUUUGGGGUUUUUUUGGAAUUUUUUUUGAUGUUUUUAGCUUUUUUGAAAAAUCAUAUUUUUUUCCAAAGAAUUACUCUCAAUAUGCACAGUUAACACUGAAAAUGUAGCUGUAGUCCAUUGUAAGCUUAAGAACUUCACCAUCUAAGCACAAAUUUCUAUGCAGCACAUACAGUACUUCUAACUGGCAAAAUUAAUUUACAAAAAUAGCGGAAAAGGGUAUUUACGGCAUGGAAAGUAGACUCUGUUUUAUGGUACAGUUAAAAUUACUUUUAGUAUGCUAAAGUGAUCCUUUCCCCCACCCUUGAACUAUUUUUUUUUAAUAGGAAAGUUGCUGUUUAUGUACCUUGUGUUGGCAGGCUUGAAGUAGGUAGUAAAAACAGCAAAGUGAUUACUUGAGAACCAUUUGUGUGUUUUACUGAGAAUACUUUAUUUGCUGGUAUAAGUUGCUAAAAAUGCACAGAGCAAGUACCAAUAGAAAAUUUACUGGUUUUGUGUCCCCAUGUGCUAUAUAAAAUGAAUGUUACACAGCAUCUGUUGGAAAAGUGGCUUCAUGGACAUCUCUUACUUUAUGUCCCAUUAUAAAUAAAAAUAAAUCUUCUCAAGAGUAUAAAAUCUGGGUUUAUCAUAUCAGAAUCUGAAAUUUUUUGGCAGAGAUGCACGUCAUUAGAAUUCUAACCUCUUCUCUGAGAGUGUUCUUCUCCAUGCCUAUGAGAGGACAUAAGCGUACCAUAAUGUUAAUCAAAUCCAGUGUGUUCCAAAACACUUUUCCGUAGCCAGAACGACCUGCUUACAGCAGCCUUGCUAGUCAGUGGCUGAUAGGCAUAGGUUUAAUAAAAAUGGCUAGCUUUGAAAACAUAAAAAGGCAAAUGUUAAAACCGUUUUAAAUUGUACAGCAGAAAAAUAAAGUUAAAAAAGUUCUGUUUUCA